UACGAGGGGGGCGAGCGUUGUUCGGAAUUAUUGGGCGUAAAGGGUGCGUAGGCGGUUCGGUAAGUUUCGUGUGAAAUCUUCGGGCUCAACUCGAAGUCUGCACGAAAUACUGCCGGGCUUGAGUAUGGGAGAGGUGAGUGGAAUUUCCGGUGUAGCGGUGAAAUGCGUAGAUAUCGGAAGGAACACCUGUGGCGAAAGCGGCUCACUGGACCAUAACUGACGCUGAGGCACGAAAGCUAGGGGAGCAAACAGG
rnacentral:rRNA from 1 species